rnacentral:rRNA from 1 species
GGCUCGGCUGGCUGGUCCGCCUCACGGUGUGUACUGGUUGGUCGGGUCUUUCCUCUUGAGGAGCCGGUGUGCCCUUCACUGGGUGUGCCGGGGAAUCAAGACUUUUACUUUGAAAAAAUUAGAGUGUUUAAAGCAGGCCUACGCUUGAAUACAUUAGCAUGGAAUAAUAGAAUAGGACUU